GACAUCACCCUCACAACUAACGAGCUGAAAAGCAGCCUAUUUCCCGGCGAAAUUUCAGCUGUAAAACCAUCUCUCAAACAGCCCCGAACCAGCUCAAAAAUGACCCCAACCAGCCCAAAACGAAGCCAUGUAGUAGCUGCGAUUUUCAUUCGAGGUUCUCCGAUCAAGCUUCGGUUCCGGCUCCUAUUCAUACCAUUAUUGCUAUAAUUCCUUGAGGUUGCUGGGUUCGGCGAAUUUGUCGCUGGAUUCGUCCUUCGAGGUAUCGUUUGAGGUUAAGUUCAUGGAUCUUAAUCCCGUUUUGCUGCUGUCUCGCUAUCUCUUUGUUAGAUACUUCAAUUCCGGCACCAAAUUUCUCUGUAUUUGACUCCAAAUGAGAUUAAUCAAAGUUGCGGUUUCAUUUUUGCUCGUGUAACUAUGGAACGUUUUUCUUGAGAAAUUGAAACUUCAACUUUCAGGUGCAAUUCUUUCCUUUCCCUUUUAUUUCUUUUUAGGUGCAGAUUAAAGUUUGGUAGGAGCCAAGGUCUUAUUGGUUUGAUGAAUGUUCGAGAGUUGGUUUGAAUGAGUUAAUUGAAAUAGAUUUGAAUAAUUCAUUUUCUAUGCUUUGGAUGUUCUAGUUUCCAUUAUAUGUUGGAGUAUCCCUUAAAUUUCGAUUUCUUGGUUAAUUAUAUGUUGAUUAAGACUUGGCUGAUUUGUGAUUGUUAAGUGAGUCGUGAUGCAGUGAUGUAUUCUGUUGGUUGUUGUUGUGAGUUUUUGGCUCGUUUUGCGGCUUAAGCAUGAGAUGAGUGCUGGAAUUCUGAUGUUCUGUCAUGUUUUUAGUUUAUCUUAAUCCAUCUAAAUUUCUGAAAUCGGCUGCAAUUCUUUGUUCAAACUCAACUUGAUUUGACUGUUGUGCAUGUAAAGUAGUGACGACGCCUCAAUGCUAAGUGCUGCAGAAUCAGUGAUAUGUUUCUUUGGUGAUUUACAUUGGUCUUUUGUUUGUCCCUGUUAAAACUAAAUGAAAAUGACUACUUCAAAUCAUGAUCAGUGUGAUUCAAUAACUUAGGUAUGGUCUGCUCAAUUUGUGUCUUUGAAGCAUGCUGAAAUCCUUUGAUGAACACCAUAUUGUUGCCUUCUGUUUGGUUGUUCAUAUCGACGUUGCCUUCGGUGUUAUCUUCAAAUUAAUCUCUAAGCCCUAACAAACGCACCUGAUGCAUAUGAGCAUCCUCGUUGGUCUAACAGAGUUUAAACACUAAGUGAAUACUGAAAUAGUUCUUUGACAUUCCCUAUUUGUCAUCGUCUUUGUUUUGGUGUUAUUCAGACAUUCCGAGACUUUUUUGGGUUCAUAUGAGAAUAUGCACGUCUUUAAGAUUCUAUGGAAUCGGAUCCAUGUUUUCCAUUAUUCCAAUUCUUCAUGCUACAUUUCCAUGUGUUGUAGCUAAUGAAUAUGUCCAUUUUGCUCCCCGGAAUGUUCACGAAUGUGCAUCUGCAAGACAUGUUUGCAUUCUCAUUCCGUAGCAAGUUUGUCUUUUACAGAAAUUGGAAACUUGUGUCAUUUGGAUGCAAAUUAUGUGAGUCAUUGAGUUAGAGUUGGAAUUAGCUCUUUAAGUGUCUUUAUUUCCAAAGUCGGGUGUGCAUUUAUGUGACCCAAAUCAAAUCUCAACAACGUUAGAUAAAAUGUGUCGUGAAUCGCGAGUGCAUUUAUGUGACGUGGUUCAAGGCGUGUUUUAACUAACGUUGAAAUCUUCCUAAAAAAAUAAUUAAAUAAAAGCUGUUAUAAAGUUAAAAUUGCACCAUAGGUUAAAACAUGUACUAAAAUCAAGUAAAUUGGCCAAUUAUAACAGUUGAGCGACCGUGCUAGAACCAUGGAACUCGGGAAUGCCUAAUACCUUCUCCCGGGUUAACAGAAUUCCUUACCCGGAUUUCUGUGUUCGCGGACUGCAAUACAGAGUAAAUCUUUUCCUCGAUUCAGGAUUUGAACCGGUGACUUGGGACACCAUAAAAUUAUCCCAAGUGGCGACUCUGAAUUUUUUCAUAAAAUAAUCCCGUUUCGAUUGUCACUUAAAUUGGAAAAACUCCCUUAUAUACCCCUCCGCGGGGUAGUGAAAAGGAGGUAUGACAGCUGGAAGAGAAGAGAAGAGUCAGGUGCACAUACAAAGUUAGAGUCGUAAAGGUUGCAUGAUAGAAGGUAGCAACAGUUACGAGAUUAGAAGGAUUCCAACUAAAAGUUGUGGUGAGAGGAAGAGGCUUAAAGGGGGGAAUACCCUGGCCUUUGGGAUUCAUUCACAGAACAGCCGCCUAGAUGGCAAGAUGAGUACUAAAGUAUUCGCAAGACCGAUGGGUUAUGAGAAUGAUAAGUACAUCAGUCAAUAUUCGAGGACGAAUGUUCCAAAGGGGGGAUGUUACACCGCAUGUUUUCGUACGUGAAAGUAUGCCACAAGUAAAUUGAUAUAGGAUCGCAAAUGAGAUGUUACGUCCCGCAUUUUUGUACGUUGAAGUUUAAUCAUAAGUUAAUUGACGUAAGUUCGGGAAUGAAAUUUAUUUUGGGAUUAUAAGUGUCACGUUAUUUAAGCAAAUAAUAAGUAAAUUCGUGAAGGUGAGAGGGUAAGAAAAUCGAAAAAAAUGAGUUUCGUCAAAGUUUGGCAUCUUGGGAUAAAGUACGGCCCGAGCUAAAAUACCCGAUAUUUAUGAACUAGUACCAUACAAGAUACCACAUGUCCAUGAUAGUAAGGUGUAUAAAGUGUAUUAAAAGUGAUUAUCAUUUUUUGUAAUUUGAGAUAAUUCUUAAUUUUAUGGGUAAUUAGUUAAUUAUUGGUUAAUGGGAGAUUAUCUAUUUAAUUAAAAAAUGUUUGGAUAAGACCAACCCUCCCCAUGUGGCAGCACCCCCCAAUCCCCAUGUAUUACUCUUAAGUUAAAUAUAUAUGUGACAAGAUUUGAGGAUUUGACAAAAUCUUCUAACAUCAAUUAUACACCAUUUUAGGAAAUGGAAAAUUAUGUCAUAAAGACAUAAAUCAUAUCUCCACUUUUAUUAAAUCAGAUUUCAAGAAUUCAAAAUAUAAUAUCUUGUAUCAAGACCAAAUCUAGUAACCAAGAAAGAAGAGAUGGAAAUAUGAAAUUGCUUCAGAAAAUUCAUAAAAGAUCCGAUUAUGCGAAAGAUGCAAUUCUAAGGAAGCACGGUAUAAUCUUUAUCAAGAAUAUUAUACGGAUUUUUCUCUACUUCGAUCUGCCAUUACGUAUUGUCCUAAUUGACGUGUGUUAGAGGGAUUUUUAAGAGAAUUGACUUAAGUAUGUUAAGGUUAUCUCUUCCUUCUUUUGGCAUGAUCCAUAUGAUACAAACGAAACACGCAAAUUCACAAUUUCCAUAAAUGACUCUAUUCAUCGAAAUACUAGAGAUGUUUAUAUUCUUGAUUUUCCAUGUGUCAUACUAUUCUAUCAUCUGUUCAUGGGUCUCAAAAAUACUUAAGUUGAUAAAGUUUAUUUCAUGAUAUUAAUUGGAGGUAUAAUGGUCUUAUGGCACUCAAAAAGAUUUUAUUGACGUACUUCUCAUGCAUUGCAUUCAUGUACAAUGACCCUUGACCAGAUGGCUUUAUAUACUCG
rnacentral:lncRNA from 1 species